CAGCAGCCGCGGUAAUACGGAGGGUGCAAGCGUUAAUCGGAAUUACUGGGCGUAAAGCGUGCGUAGGCGGCUUCUUAAGUCGGAUGUGAAAUCCCUGAGCUUAACUUAGGAAUUGCAUUCGAUACUGGGAAGCUAGAGUAUGGGAGAGGAUGGUAGAAUUCCAGGUGUAGCGGUGAAAUGCGUAGAGAUCUGGAGGAAUACCGAUGGCGAAGGCAGCCAUCUGGCCUAAUACUGACGCUGAGGUACGAAAGCAUGGGGAGCAAACAGGAUUAGAUACCCCAGUAGUCCCUGUCUAUUAUAC
rnacentral:rRNA from 1 species